UCCGGUAUGGUGUAACGGCUAACAUUGCUGCCUUUCACCGUUUCUGUUGAUCGCAGCAGCUCGGGGUUCGAUUCCCCGUACCGGAA